GAGUUUGAUCCUGGCUCAGGACGAACGCUGGCGGCGUGCCUAACACAUGCAAGUCGAGCGAUGAAAUCCUUCGGGAUGGAUUAGCGGCGGACGGGUGAGUAACACGUGGGUAACCUGCCUCAAAGAGGGGAAUAGCCUCCCGAAAGGGAGAUUAAUACCGCAUAAUAUGUUUUGGUCGCAUGACUUAGACAUCAAAGGAUUUUCUUCGGAGAUUCCACUUUGAGAUGGACCCGCGGCGCAUUAGCUAGUUGGUGAGGUAACGGCUCACCAAGGCGACGAUGCGUAGCCGACCUGAGAGGGUGAUCGGCCACAUUGGAACUGAGACAC
rnacentral:rRNA from 1 species